AUUGAACGCUGGCGGCAGGCUUAACACAUGCAAGUCGAACGAGUGGCGGACGGGUGAGUAAUGCUUGGGAAUCUAGCUUAUGGAGGGGGAUAACUACGGGAAACUGUAGCUAAUACCGCGUACCAUAGGAUGAGCCCAAGUGGGAGUAGGUAGUUGGUGGGGUAAAGGCUCACCAAGCCGACGAUCUCUAGCUGGUCUGAGAGGAUGAUGUGCGAGACGGGGAUGGAGACACGGCCCAGACGCCGACGGGAGGCAGCAGUGGGGAGUAUUGCACAAUGGGCGCAAGCCUGAUGCAGCCAUGCCGCGUGUAGGAAGAAGGCCUUAGGGGUGUAAAGUACUUUCAGCGGGGAGGCGUUACCCGCAGAAGAAGCACCGGCUAACUCCGUGCCAGCAGCCGCGGUAAUUC
rnacentral:rRNA from 1 species